CUCGAUCGUAUGGAUAUGUACCC
rnacentral:miRNA from 1 species